UUAAGCGACUAAGCGUACACGGUGGAUGCCCUGGCAGUCAGAGGCGAUGAAGGACGUGCUAAUCUGCGAUAAGCGUCGGUAAGGUGAUAUGAACCGUUAUAACCGGCGAUUUCCGAAUGGGGAAACCCAGUGUGUUUCGACACACUAUCAUUAACUGAAUCCAUAGGUUAAUGAGGCGAACCGGGGGAACUGAAACAUCUAAGUACCCCGAGGAAAAGAAAUCAACCGAGAUUCCCCCAGUAGCGGCGAGCGAACGGGGAGCAGCCCAGAGCCUGAAUCAGUGUGUGUGUUAGUGGAAGCGUCUGGAAAGGCGCGCGAUACAGGGUGACAGCCCCGUACACAAAAAUGCACAUGCUGUGAGCUCGAUGAGUAGGGCGGGACACGUGGUAUCCUGUCUGAAUAUGGGGGGACCAUCCUCCAAGGCUAAAUACUCCUGACUGACCGAUAGUGAACCAGUACCGUGAGGGAAAGGCGAAAAGAACCCCGGCGAGGGGAGUGAAAAAGAACCUGAAACCGUGUACGUACAAGCAGUGGGAGCACGCUUAGGCGUGUGACUGCGUACCUUUUGUAUAAUGGGUCAGCGACUUAUAUUCUGUAGCAAGGUUAACCGAAUAGGGGAGCCGAAGGGAAACCGAGUCUUAACUGGGCGUUAAGUUGCAGGGUAUAGACCCGAAACCCGGUGAUCUAGCCAUGGGCAGGUUGAAGGUUGGGUAACACUAACUGGAGGACCGAACCGACUAAUGUUGAAAAAUUAGCGGAUGACUUGUGGCUGGGGGUGAAAGGCCAAUCAAACCGGGAGAUAGCUGGUUCUCCCCGAAAGCUAUUUAGGUAGCGCCUCGUGAAUUCAUCUCCGGGGGUAGAGCACUGUUUCGGCAAGGGGGUCAUCCCGACUUACCAACCCGAUGCAAACUGCGAAUACCGGAGAAUGUUAUCACGGGAGACACACGGCGGGUGCUAACGUCCGUCGUGAAGAGGGAAACAACCCAGACCGCCAGCUAAGGUCCCAAAGUCAUGGUUAAGUGGGAAACGAUGUGGGAAGGCCCAGACAGCCAGGAUGUUGGCUUAGAAGCAGCCAUCAUUUAAAGAAAGCGUAAUAGCUCACUGGUCGAGUCGGCCUGCGCGGAAGAUGUAACGGGGCUAAACCAUGCACCGAAGCUGCGGCAGCGACGCUUAUGCGUUGUUGGGUAGGGGAGCGUUCUGUAAGCCUGUGAAGGUGUGCUGUGAGGCAUGCUGGAGGUAUCAGAAGUGCGAAUGCUGACAUAAGUAACGAUAAAGCGGGUGAAAAGCCCGCUCGCCGGAAGACCAAGGGUUCCUGUCCAACGUUAAUCGGGGCAGGGUGAGUCGACCCCUAAGGCGAGGCCGAAAGGCGUAGUCGAUGGGAAACAGGUUAAUAUUCCUGUACUUGGUGUUACUGCGAAGGGGGGACGGAGAAGGCUAUGUUGGCCGGGCGACGGUUGUCCCGGUUUAAGCGUGUAGGCUGGUUUUCCAGGCAAAUCCGGAAAAUCAAGGCUGAGGCGUGAUGACGAGGCACUACGGUGCUGAAGCAACAAAUGCCCUGCUUCCAGGAAAAGCCUCUAAGCAUCAGGUAACAUCAAAUCGUACCCCAAACCGACACAGGUGGUCAGGUAGAGAAUACCAAGGCGCUUGAGAGAACUCGGGUGAAGGAACUAGGCAAAAUGGUGCCGUAACUUCGGGAGAAGGCACGCUGAUAUGUAGGUGAAGUCCCUCGCGGAUGGAGCUGAAAUCAGUCGAAGAUACCAGCUGGCUGCAACUGUUUAUUAAAAACACAGCACUGUGCAAACACGAAAGUGGACGUAUACGGUGUGACGCCUGCCCGGUGCCGGAAGGUUAAUUGAUGGGGUCAGCGCAAGCGAAGCUCUUGAUCGAAGCCCCGGUAAACGGCGGCCGUAACUAUAACGGUCCUAAGGUAGCGAAAUUCCUUGUCGGGUAAGUUCCGACCUGCACGAAUGGCGUAAUGAUGGCCAGGCUGUCUCCACCCGAGACUCAGUGAAAUUGAACUCGCUGUGAAGAUGCAGUGUACCCGCGGCAAGACGGAAAGACCCCGUGAACCUUUACUAUAGCUUGACACUGAACAUUGAGCCUUGAUGUGUAGGAUAGGUGGGAGGCUUUGAAGUGUGGACGCCAGUCUGCAUGGAGCCGACCUUGAAAUACCACCCUUUAAUGUUUGAUGUUCUAACGUUGGCCCCUAAUCGGGGUUGCGGACAGUGUCUGGUGGGUAGUUUGACUGGGGCGGUCUCCUCCUAAAGAGUAACGGAGGAGCACGAAGGUUGGCUAAUCCUGGUCGGACAUCAGGAGGUUAGUGCAAUGGCAUAAGCCAGCUUGACUGCGAGCGUGACGGCGCGAGCAGGUGCGAAAGCAGGUCAUAGUGAUCCGGUGGUUCUGAAUGGAAGGGCCAUCGCUCAACGGAUAAAAGGUACUCCGGGGAUAACAGGCUGAUACCGCCCAAGAGUUCAUAUCGACGGCGGUGUUUGGCACCUCGAUGUCGGCUCAUCACAUCCUGGGGCUGAAGUAGGUCCCAAGGGUAUGGCUGUUCGCCAUUUAAAGUGGUACGCGAGCUGGGUUUAGAACGUCGUGAGACAGUUCGGUCCCUAUCUGCCGUGGGCGCUGGAGAACUGAGGGGGGCUGCUCCUAGUACGAGAGGACCGGAGUGGACGCAUCACUGGUGUUCGGGUUGUCAUGCCAAUGGCACUGCCCGGUAGCUAAAUGCGGAAGAGAUAAGUGCUGAAAGCAUCUAAGCACGAAACUUGCCCCGAGAUGAGUUCUCCCUGACCCUUUAAGGGUCCUGAAGGAACGUUGAAGACGACGACGUUGAUAGGCCGGGUGUGUAAGCGCAGCGAUGCGUUGAGCUAACCGGUACUAAUGAACCGUGAGGCUUAACCUU
rnacentral:rRNA from 1 species